rnacentral:rRNA from 1 species
AUUGAACGCUGGCGGCAGGCCUAACACAUGCAAGUCGAACGAGUGGCGGACGGGUGAGUAAUGUAUGGGAAACUGCCUGAUGGAGGGGGAUAACUACUGGAAACGGUAGCUAAUACCGCAUACCAUCAGAUGUGCCCAGAUGGGAUUAGCUAGUGGGGGGGGUAACGGCUCACCAAGGCGACGAUCCCUACCUGGUCUGAGAGGAUGACCAGCAACACUGGAACUGAGACACGGUCCAGACUCCUACGGGAGGCAGCAGUGGGGAAUAUUGCACAAUGGGCGCAAGCCGGAUGCAGCCAUGCCGCGUGUGUGAAGAAGGCCUUCGGGUUGUAAAGUACUUUCAGCUGGGAGGCGUUACCCGCAGAAGAAGCACCGGCUAACUCCGUGCCAGCCGCCGCGGUAAUAC